AUGCUACAUUUCUCCAAACCUGAUGAAAACAACAAACUCACCUAUAUCUUCAGCGGCUUGAGGGUGGUGAGGGUGCUACAUUUUGGAAGCUUCAGCGAGGAUGAAAGCAGUGCGUGUUGGCUUCCAGUGAUGACAACACACUUCCAGUGCCAUUCAGCCUACUACAGCCCAGAUGACCAGUGGAGUGAACUACAGCCCAGGUGACCAGUGAAGUGAAGGCGUUCGUGUCCGUGUCAAGCUAGGAAGGAAAGUGCAAGCAAUCUGAGGUUGAUCUUCGAUACCAGGAGCGCUGCAGGUUACCAGCCAGCUAAGGACAUUUCUUCUAUCACUUUGCACACAUCAAGAGACUGAGCAACACAUGGAUCAUGUGGAGGAUUUGAAGCUUGAGGUGAUAGGAGCAGUAUAUGCUCUCCCACAAGAAUAUUUGACUGAACUAUGUGAAUUCCUAGGGGAUUGAGUGUGAACAUGCCAGUAGCAAAAGCGGGUCAUUUCUUGUUUCUGUAAUUGUGAGACAUGUCGAGCGAAAGGCAUUAGUGGAAUUGGAAGAUGCGGGCAUGUCUGUUUGUCAUGUCAGCAAAGAGUUAUGCAAUGGUGUCCCCCACAAGCUGCACACAGUGUGGUAUGACAGGUUCCGGCUUUAGAUUACGACACUGCGCCGCCUGUUAACAAACAUUAUAUUGUUCAAAAGCCUGUCAAGCUAAUCACUGACAGUCCAUAAGAAACAAUUUAACCAGACAGCAAGAGUAAACACAAAUUCAGCAAAGCACAGAAAUAAAUGGGAGCCGAGCAGUCUACACACGCCGCCUUUGUAGGAAAACAGUGUCUAGUGCCGUGUUACAUUCAUGGGCUCCUUGUUGAUGCGGGGGAAGUCGUGGCCUAAUGGUUAGAGAGUUUGACUCCUAACCCUAAGGUUGUGGGUUGAGUCUCAGGCCGGCAAUACCACGACUGAGGUGCCCUUGAGGAAGGCACCGAACCCCCAACUGCUCCCCGGGCGCCGCAGCAUAAAUGAUACCCACUGCUCCGGGUGUGUGUUCACGGUGUGUGUGUGUUCACUGCUGUGUGUGUGUGUGCACUUUGGAUGGGUUAAAU
ensembl:lncRNA